rnacentral:lncRNA from 1 species
UUUGGAUAGACUCACUACUGAGUUAUGUCUUGUCUGAAGAAAACCUCCAGCAAAAUCAGAAAGCCCUACAGUAUCCUUUCCAACGUGGAUAAUCCUACAUACAUUUCGGAGUCAUUUCAUCUGAAAGGAAGGUUCAUCUUUUCAUAUUCAAAGACGGAGUACCCAAAAUGUCAUAUUUUGGACAUCGGAUCUAAAGAGCCAUUCAUUAUCCAGAAACCAGGAGGGCUGGGCAGAGACACAGCAAGAAGUGCUGAUGUGUUCCACUCUGUGAAGGGGACAAGCCAGAAAGACUGCAGUGUGUCUCAAGAAAAGCUGAAGAAUGUACUGUUCUUUAACAGCUGUUUUCAGGGUUAUAAGAAAAUGUCCCAAGCACUGCGUGCAGUUAUUCAGUGGACUGUGGAAACAUAGUCCAAAAUGGCUAAUCAUAAAACUGGAAGUUUGUCUUGUAGAAACU